GGCCUGGACUAAGGGAUAACCCUCGGAAACGGGGGCUAAUACCGAAUACGACACGGUCUCGCAUGAGAUCCGUGUGGAAAGUUUAACGGUCUGGGAUGGUCUCGCGGCCUAUCAGCUUGUUGGUGGGGUAAUGGCCUACCUAGGCGACGACGGGUAGCCGGCCUGAGAGGGCGACCGGCCACACUGGGACUGAAACACGGCCCAGACUCCUACGGGAGGCAGCAGUGGGGAAUAUUGCACAAUGGGCGGAAGCCUGAUGCAGCGACGCCGCGUGAGGGAUGACGGCCUUCGGGUUGUAAACCUCUUUCAGCAGGGACGAAGCGCAAGUGACGGUACCUGCAGAAGAAGCGCCGGCCAACUACGUGCCAGCAGCCGCGGUAAGACGUAGGGCGCGAGCGUUGUCCGGAUUUAUUGGGCGUAAAGAGCUCGUAGGCGGCUUGUCGCGUCGACUGUGAAAACCCGCGGCUCAACCGCGGGCCUGCAGCCGAUACGGGCAGGCUAGAGUUCGGUAGGGGAGACUGGAAUUCCUGGUGUAGCGGUGAAAUGCGCAGAUAUCAGGAGGAACACCGAUGGCGAAGGCAGGUCUCUGGGCCGAUACUGACGCUGAGGAGCGAAAGCGUGGGGAGCGAACAGGAUUAGAUACCCUGGUAGUCCACGCUGUAAACGUUGGGCGCUAGGUGUGGGGGACCUCUCCGGUUCUCUGUGCCGCAGCUAACGCAUUAAGCGCCCCGCCUGGGGAGUACGGCCGCAAGGCUAAAACUCAAAGGAAUUGACAGGGCCCGCACAAGCGGCGGAGCAUGCGGAUUAAUUCGAUGCAACGCGAAGAACCUUACCUGAGCUUGACAUCGCCGGAAAACUCGCAGAGAUGCGGGGUCCUUCGGGGCCGGUGACAGGUGGUGCAUGGCUGUCGUCAGCUCGUGUCGUGAGAUGUUGGGUUAAGUCCCGCAACGAGCGCAACCCUCGUUCGAUGUUGCCAGCGCGUUAUGGCGGGGACUCAUCGAAGACUGCCGGGGUCAACUCGGAGGAAGGUGGGGAUGACGUCAAGUCAUCAUGCCCCUUAUGUCCAGGGCUUCACGCAUGCUACAAUGGCCGGUACAAAGGGUUGCGAUACCGUAAGGUGGAGCGAAUCCCAAAAAGCCGGUCUCAGUUCGGAUCGGGGUCUGCAACUCGACCCCGUGAAGUCGGAGUCGCUAGUAAUCGCAGAUCAGCAACGCUGCGGUGAA
rnacentral:rRNA from 1 species